rnacentral:misc_RNA from 1 species
UUUACGUCUUCUCAUUUGCAUAUUGAUAUUUCAGAUGUUUGUAUCUCUGAAAAGAGAAGUGCACGUACAAAAAUACUGCAACCAUACUAAGUGAUUUUGAAAAUAUUUUUCCCCCUUGAUAUGCGCUUUUUCAACUUUUUUAAUGGUAAUUUAUAAAAAGUUUAUUCUUAAUUUUAACAAGAAAUUAUAAUGUCUUAUGAAAAGUAAAUAGAUAANUUAUUUGGAAAAAAUAUCAUUCAUUACUACAUGCUAUUUUUUUCUUUGCUGGCUUCGCUACUCACUCCCGGCUGACUUACAGAACUCACUCACUCCUGGCUGACUUACAGAAACGUACGGCUUCCAUUGUAUAUCAUAUUAUGAUAUAAAAUUAUAUAAUAUGAAUAUAAUAUAUAAUAUAUGGUACUGUAUUCCAAGUCAAAAACUUUGGCAAUAAUUAUAUCUCGCCUUAGUUCCCUCUCUCUCUGCUAAACCACAGGAAGCUAGUCACCAAAAGAGUGCAAAGGAGGACGCAUUCCAAACAUUGCGGAAGUGAACGAUUGCAGUACAAGUAGUCACGAAGUCGGCCAACUUUGGCCCUCUUUACCGGACAAAAUACUAAAAUAUAAUUCCUAAAACGAGAAGCUAAAGAUAAACAAGACAAGAUAAAGCAGUUUUGAAUCUUAAAGAUGCAAGGUGAGUUCAAAAGGUGUCUGGUAAGACGCGUGGCCAUCCAUGGUAACCUUGGCAACGAGUGAAUGCAUGAAAUUUCCUAGUUUCAAAGAACUCGAGUUCGGGAUGAGACUCGUCGUUUUUGAACAUCAAUUAUGGAAAACUAGGGGACAGGUCAGUCACUGGCUGUACGAAGAGAUAUGUUAUGCCUGAGAAUACUUGAUUCAAGUCUCAAAAGCGAAAGCAAAAGUCUUCCAAAAGAAAAAGGAAAACAAAGUCAAAAAAUGACAAAAAAGACAUUCUACCUCGUGUUAUCGGGGAGAAGAUAAGUCAACGAAAGGCUUCCAAAGGCAAAAAAGAAUUGGGUAUUCCUUCAAGCGUGGUUGCUCUUCCUAAAAUACAAGACAAGCCAGAGAGCGUAGAUAAGUCGUAUGUUCUCAUAGAGCAACAGAUUCGUUCUAAAGAUCUUGGUCAUGUUGUUUUACCUCGCUUAAAGAAAAACAAAGAUGGGUACAUUCCAAAGCUUCAGUUGAAAACUUCCUCAAGGAAGAUGACUACAACGAAUGAUAUUGAUAACUCAAGAAAAGACCACAAGGUAACUUUGGAUAUCCCUGCGAAGAUGUCUAAACCAUCAAAAAAGAUUAAAAAUGAGAACACAAUUAAGAUUAAAAUACGUGUAAAUGGUAAAGAGGCUUUAAGGAAAAUGCCAAGAGCAUGCGAUUCAUUGUCAGAUGCGUCUUCCAAAGAAACGGUAAAUCAGGAACCAGGAAUGGAUUAUAAGGAAGGCGGACCUUCGGAUGUUAAACCUGUGCUGGAAUUAUCAAAUGCAGCAAGCAACGAACAAAUAGAAGACGCACAGGAAGGCUUCCCGAGUUCUGGCCGUUUAAUUAGAGAGCAGCAUCAAUUGGAUUUGAGCAGAGACGAGAAGAUUUUGACAGAGUCUUUGGCUUCUGAUGACAGUCAAGAAGUCAUUUUUGAAGAAAUACAGGAAUCGGGAACGGAUAAAUUCCAUGCGCAUCGACGACACCGUAGAAACAAACCCAAAGAGAAGUUCCAUGCUAAAUCAAAAUCCAAGUCAUCUACAGAAAAGGAAACCAUCGAUCCUGGAUUAUCAAAAGUCCACCCGGAUCGAAAGCGUCUUUUAACGACAAAGGAGUUCAUUGUAGAAGGUCUUGAUAGAAGUAACCAUGACAACAGGAGCCAUCGGAAACCAAAAGCAUUAGCCGUUACGAUACGUAAGCCAAAAAUAUCGAGACGCAGAGAAUGUGGUGAUAAUUAUGGUAUACAUGGAUGUAAAUUGCUAGGGAAUGCCAUAGAUUUGGAUGAGUACGUGAUAGCAAUGGUCAGGUUGUAUAACUGUCAUGAUGAAGUAACGCUUGAUAGGGUAGAGGAGUUUCCUAGAGAACUACUAUGUCAAGGUUCUUAGGAAAACAUAUUGUCUGAUUGAUGAGUACGUGACAGCGAUGGUCAGGUUGUAUAACUGUCAUGAUGAAGUAACGCUUGAUAGGGUAGAGGAGUUUCCUAGAGAACUAUGUCAAGGUUCUUAGGAAAACAUAUUGUCUGAUUGAUGAGUACGUGACAGCGAUGGGUAGGUUGUAUGACUGUCAUGAUGAAGUAACACUUGAUAGGGUAGAGGA